rnacentral:rRNA from 1 species
CCUACGGGAGGCAGCAGUGAGGAAUAUUGGUCAAUGGACGGAAGUCUGAACCAGCCAUGCCGCGUGCAGGAAGACGGCUCUAUGAGUUGUAAACUGCUUUUGUACAAGGGUAAACCUGAAUACGUGUAUUCAGCUGAAAGUACUGUACGAAUAAGGAUCGGCUAACUCCGUGCCAGCAGCCGCGGUAAUACGGAGGAUCCAAGCGUUAUCCGGAUUUCUUGGGUUUAAAGGGUGCGUAGGCGGAUGGAUAAGUUCGCGGUGAAAGGUCCGGGCGUAACUCGGGAACUGCCUCUAAUACUGUUGAGCUAGAGAGUGGAUGCGGUAGGCGGAAUGUAUGGUGUAGCGGUGAGAUGCUUAGAGAUCAUACAGAACGCCGAUUGCGAAGGCAGCUUACCAAGCUAUAUCUGACGUUGAGGCACGAAAGCGUGGGGAGCAAACAGGAUUAGAGACCCGGGUAGUG